rnacentral:rRNA from 2 species
CGGACGCUAAUACCGCAUACGUCCUACGGGAGAAAGCAGGGGACCUUCGGGCCUUGCGCUAUCAGAUGAGCCUAGGUCGGAUUAGCUAGUUGGUGGGGUAAUGGCUCACCAAGGCGACGAUCCGUAACUGGUCUGAGAGGAUGAUCAGUCACACUGGAACUGAGACACGGUCCAGACUCCUACGGGAGGCAGCAGUGGGGAAUAUUGGACAAUGGGCGAAAGCCUGAUCCAGCCAUGCCGCGUGUGUGAAGAAGGUCUUCGGAUUGUAAAGCACUUUAAGUUGGGAGGAAGGGUUGUAGAUUAAUACUCUGCAAUUUUGACGUUACCGACAGAAUAAGCACCGGCUAACUCUGUGCCAGCAGCCGCGGUAAUACAGAGGGUGCAAGCGUUAAUCGGAAUUACUGGGCGUAAAGCGCGCGUAGGUGGUUUGUUAAGUUGGAUGUGAAAUCCCCGGGCUCAACCUGGGAACUGCAUUCAAAACUGACUGACUAGAGUAUGGUAGAGGGUGGUGGAAUUUCCUGUGUAGCGGUGAAAUGCGUAGAUAUAGGAAGGAACACCAGUGGCGAAGGCGACCACCUGGACUAAUACUGACACUGAGGUGCGAAAGCGUGGGGAGCAAACAGGAUUAGAUACCCUGGUAGUCCACGCCGUAAACGAUGUCAACUAGCCGUUGGAAGCCUUGAGCUUUUAGUGGCGCAGCUAACGCA